rnacentral:rRNA from 1 species
CAUGUCUAAGUAUAAGCAAUUAUACAGCGAAACUGCGAAUGGCUCAUUAAAUCAGUUAUCGUUUAUUUGAUAGUACCUUACUACAUGGAUAACCGUGGUAAUUCUAGAGCUAAUACAUGCUAAAAAUCCCGACUUCGGAAGGGAUGUAUUUAUUAGAUUAAAAACCAAUGCCCUUCGGGGCUCUCUGGUGAUUCAUAAUAACUUCUCGAAUCGCACGGCCUUGCGCCGGCGAUGGUUCAUUCAAAUUUCUGCCCUAUCAACUUUCGACGGCUGGGUCUUGGCCAGCCGUGGUGACAACGGGUAACGGAGGGUUAGGGCUCGACCCCGGAGAAGGAGCCUGAGAAACGGCUACUACAUCCAAGGAAGGCAGCAGGCGCGCAAAUUACCCAAUCCCGACACGGGGAGGUAGUGACAAUAAAUACUGAUACAGGGCUCUUUUGGGUCUUGUAAUUGGAAUGAGUACAAUUUAAAUCCCUUAACGAGGGACAAU